rfam:Schistosoma margrebowiei strain Zambia genome assembly, scaffold: SMRZ_contig0002717
AUCCGACUGACGAGUCCCAGAUAAGACGAAACGCACGUCUUACAU